UACAUGGGGUGCAAACGUUGCUCGGAAUCAUUGGGCGUAAAGCGCGCGUAGGCGGUUACUUAAGUCGAAUGUGAAAGCCCUCGGCUUAACCGAGGAAGUGCAUCCGAAACUGAGUAGCUAGAGUACGAAAGAGGGUCGCGGAAUUCCCGGUGUAGAGGUGAAAUUCGUAGAUAUCGGGAGGAACACCGGUGGCGAAGGCGGCGACCUGGGUCGAGACUGACGCUGAGGCGCGAAAGCGUGGAGAGCAAACAGG
rnacentral:rRNA from 1 species